UUCCAGACUCCUACGGGAGGCAGCAGUGGGGAAUAUUGGGCAAUGGGCGCAAGCCUGACCCAGCAACGCCGCGUGAAGGAAGAAGGCCCUCGGGUUGUAAACUUCUUUUAUCAGGGACGAAACAAAUGACGGUACCUGAUGAAUAAGCCACGGCUAACUACGUGCCAGCAGCCGCGGUAAUACGUAGGGGGCAAGCGUUAUCCGGAUUCACUGGGUGUAAAGGGGGCGCAGACGGCGAUGCAAGCCAGGAGUGAAAGCCCGGGGCCCAACCCCGGGACUGCUCUUGGAACUGCGUGGCUAGAGUGCAGGAGGGGCAGGCGGAAUUCCUGGUGUAGCGGUGAAAUGCGUAGAUAUAAGGAAGAACACCAGUGGCGAAGGCGGAUGACUGGACGGCAACUGACGGUGAGGCGCGAAAGCGUGGGGAGCAAACAGGAUUAGAUACCCCAGUAC
rnacentral:rRNA from 1 species